GACGAACGCUGGCGGCGUGCUUAACACAUGCAAGUCGAACGGAAAGGCCCUGCUUGCAGGGUACUCGAGCGGCGAACGGGUGAGUAACACGUGGGUGAUCUGCCCUGCACUUCGGGAUAAGCCUGGGAAACUGGGUCUAAUACCGGAUAGGAGCCAUUUUUAGUGUGAUGGUUGGAAAGUUUUUUCGGUGUAGGAUGAGCUCGCGGCCUAUCAGCUUGUUGGUGGGGUAAUGGCCUACCAAGGCGGCGACGGGUAGCCGGCCUGAGAGGGUGGACGGCCACAUUGGGACUGGGAUACGGCCCAGACUCCUACGGGAGGCAGCAGUGGGGAAUAUUGCACAAUGGGCGCAAGCCUGAUGCAGCGACGCCGCGUGGGGGAUGACGGCCUUCGGGUUGUAAACUCCUUUCGCUAGGGACGAAGCUUUUUGUGACGGUACCUAGAUAAGAAGCACCGGCUAACUACGUG
rnacentral:rRNA from 1 species